rnacentral:rRNA from 1 species
CCUACGGGUGGCAGCAGUGGGGAAUAUUGCACAAUGGGGGAAACCCUGAUGCAGCAACGCCGCGUGAGCGAUGAAGGCCUUCGGGUCGUAAAGCUCUGUCCUAAGGGAAGAAUACUGACGGUACCUCAGGAGGAAGCCGCGGCUAACUACGUGCCAGCAGCAGCGGUAAUACGUUGGGGGCCAGCGUUAUCCGGAAUUAUUGGGCGUAAAGGGUGGGUAGGCGGCCCUUCAAGUCAGAGGUGAAAGGCUAGGGCUAAACCGGAGUAAGCCUUUGAAACUGUAGGGCUUGAGUGCAGGAGAGGAGAGUGGAAUUCCUAGUGUAGGGGUGAAAUGCGUAGAUAUUGGGAGGAACACCAGUAGCGAAGGCGGCUCUCUGGACUGUAACUGACGCUGAGGCACGAAAGCGUGGGGAGCGAACAGGAUUAGAUACCCUGGUAGUC